CCGAGGAUGGCUAGGCUCCCCGGUUCUUACUUUGAGCAUUGCUUCCCAGCUCCAGUUCAGAUCCCUCAGCCUACUAGCAGAGAUCCUUCAUCUUGCUGGCAUA